rnacentral:rRNA from 1 species
AGAGUUUGAUCCUGGCUCAGGAUGAACGCUAGCGGCAGGCUUAACACAUGCAAGUCGAGGGGCAGCAUAAUGGUAGUAAUACUAUUGAUGGCGACCGGCGGACGGGUGCGUAACGCGUAUGCAACCUACCCUUUACAGGGGGAUAACACUGAGAAAUCGGUACUAAUACCCCAUAAUAUUCUGGGAGGCAUCUUUCGGAGUUGAAAGCUUUGGUGGUAAAGGAUGGGCAUGCGUUGUAUUAGCUAGUUGGUAAGGUAACGGCUUACCAAGGCGACGAUACAUAGGGGGACUGAGAGGUUAACCCCCCACAUUGGUACUGAGACACGGACCAAACUCCUACGGGAGGCAGCAGUGAGGAAUAUUGGUCAAUGGACGGAAGUCUGAACCAGCCAUGCCGCGUGCAGGAAGACGGCUCUAUGAGUUGUAAACUGCUUUUGUACGAGGGUAAACGCAGAUACGUGUAUCUGCCUGAAAGUAUCGUACGAAUAAGGAUCGGCUAACUCCGUGCCAGCAGCCGCGGUAAUACGGAGGAUCCAAGCGUUAUCCGGAUUUAUUGGGUUUAAAGGGUGCGUAGGCGGUUUAGUAAGUCAGCGGUGAAAUUUUGGUGCUUAACACCAAACGUGCCGUUGAUACUGCUGGGCUAGAGAGUAGUUGCGGUAGGCGGAAUGUAUGGUGUAGCGGUGAAAUGCUUAGAGAUCAUACAGAACACCGAUUGCGAAGGCAGCUUACCAAACUAUAUCUGACGUUGAGGCACGAAAGCGUGGGGAGCAAACAGGAUUAGAUACCCUGGUAGUCCACGCAGUAAACGAUGAUAGCUCGUUGUCGGCGAUACACAGUCGGUGACUAAGAGAAAUCGAUAAGCUAUCCACCUGGGGAGUACGUUCGCAAGAAUGAAACUCAAAGGAAUUGACGGGGGCCCGCACAAGCGGAGGAACAUGUG